rnacentral:lncRNA from 1 species
AAGAAAAGUUUUCAGCUCUAAAGGGGAUCCUAUUGGUUUCUGCGUUAAUAAGGUUGGUUGGAUCUGAAUCCCCUAGAGGGCCGAGAUAUUGAAGGUGUGGUUGAUCGGUGGGGAUGACAAUUUUAUUGGACAACUCCUAGUGAUUUUGGGGGAAUAAAAAUACAAAGAAAAAGGAAAAGGAGAAUAUUCAGUAAGAUGACUCGCGGAUGAAUAGGAAUAAAAAAAAAUACAGAAGAUGAGAUGGAGAUCUGACCUCAGGGACGACGAAGCCAAUGGCCAUCUUGUCGUGAAGAGGACGUUGGAGGGCACCGGAGUUGAUGAAGAGAAGUGCUUGUCGGAGGUCUUGAAGGUUGUAAAUGGCGUCGCCGCUGGAAAAGUAAAGUUGGGUAGUAGAAUGGUGUGAUGGGGAAGGAGUACCCAAGAAGGAACUAUUUAUAGGACAAGAUGGGCAAGGGCAAAUCCGACUUAUCUCUUUGCCGCAUCCGAGAAACCCGAGGGUACUCAGGUGGAUAUGGUAACUGUUCGCACGGUAAUCCAGGGAUUGUGCAGGUGAUUUGACGGGAAGCGGUCAUUAUCUGAAGAUAUUUUACUGUGCGAGAUCUCCUGGUCGGUCCAUCGGCGAUAUUCUAUAACGGUCAUCUUGCCGAUGGGCGGAUAGAGGGGAAGUAAUCGUUUUUGCGAAUAUCCGGGUCAGAGCAUCGGCAGAUCUUUGUAACGGUAUUGUUGCCGAUGUACGACUGAGAAAGAUGCCCGUUUAGGAAGUUGGGGAUUUCGAGGAAUCUGCGGAGGAUCAGGAUCAGAGUUGUCC